rnacentral:rRNA from 1 species
GACGUAGGGUGCGAGCGUUGUCCGGAAUUAUUGGGCGUAAAGAGCUUGUAGGCGGUCUGUCGCGUCUGCUGUGAAAAUCCGGGGCUCAACCCCGGACUUGCAGUGGGUACGGGCAGACUAGAGUGUGGUAGGGGAGACUGGAAUUCCUGGUGUAGCGGUGAAAUGCGCAGAUAUCAGGAGGGAACACCGAUGGCGAAGGCAGGUCUCUGGGCCACUACUGACGCUGGAGGAAGCGAAAGCAUGGGGAGCGAACAGG